rnacentral:rRNA from 1 species
GAUGAACGCUGGCGGCGUGCUUAAUACAUGCAAGUCGGGCGAACAGAUAAGGAGCUUGCUCCUUUGACGUUAGCGGCGGACGGGUGAGUAACACGUGGAAAACCUACCUAUAAGACUGGUAUAACUUCGGGAAACCGGAGCAAAUACCGGAGAACAUAUUGCAGCACAUGGGUGGAUAGUGAAAUUCGGCGUUGCGGGCACGUAUAGAUGGAUCUGGGCUGUUUUAGGUAGUGGGUAAGGUAACGGGUUACCAAGGCAACGAGACGUAGGCGACGUGAGGGGGUGAUAGGCCACACUGGAGCGGGGACAGGGUCAAGAGUCCUAAGGGAGGCAGCAGUAGGGAAUGUUACGCAAUGGGGGAAAACCUGGCGCAGCAAGGCGGCGUGAGAGAUGGAGGUCUUCGGAUCGUAAAAAUCUGUUAUCAGGGAAAAACAAAUGUGUAAGUAACUGUGGACAUCUUGACGGUAACUGGUCAGAAAGCCACGGCUAACUACGUG